GUAAAAGAAGAUGUGGGUAUUGUAUUUAUACCUAGAACAGAUUUAUUAUUAGUUGGCUAGUGUGUUAGUAGGAUAGCCAUUGGUAGUUAUAAAGUAUGAAGUCGUCAGGUAUUAAUAAUAGGAAUUGAUCAAAGCUUAUACAUUUAUUGUGAUGUUUAUAUUGUGAAUUUAAGUAGUUAGAGUUUUGGUUGUUUAAUAAACGAAUUAAUGUGCUUA
rnacentral:lncRNA from 1 species